GUCAUCGGUUAAUCGCAACGUAAGUUGAGGAAAGUCCGUGCUGCCACAAUCUGCGAUGAUUGUAGUGAUUGUGAUGGGCCCAACAAGCCCAUGGCCAGGAGAACAUCCUGGUACGGCUGGGUAAUUACCUAAGUAUUUAUAUACGGUAAUCCCUUAAGGUGCCACAGAGACGAGUUUGUUAGAAAUGACAAAGUGGAACGGGUAAACCCCACAAGGCAGAAACCCAAAUUUGGUAGGGGAACUAUAGUGAGAGAAUUGAAUCAAUCUAUGGAGCGCUAUGCGCUAGAUAAAUGGUUAACGAUAACAGAACACGGCUUAUAGAU
rnacentral:RNase_P_RNA from 1 species